rnacentral:rRNA from 1 species
UACGAAAGGGGUCAAGCGUUACUCGGAAUUACUGGGCGUAAAGCGUGCGUAGGUGGUGCGUUAAGUCUUGUCGUGAAAGCCCCGGGCUCAACCUGGGAAUGGCGAUGGAUACUGGCGCGUAGAGUGCGGUAGAGGAGAGUGGAAUUCCCGGUGAGCAGUGAAAUGCGUAGAGAUCGGGAGGAACAUCAGUUGCGAAGGCGGCUCUCUGGACCAGCACUG